UGUGUUGCGUCUCCCUUUUCUUUUUUUCGCGCAGGUUUCGCAGUGCAAAGACACAUUAUUCAUUGAUUUCUCUCCUCCUCCGGGCCUUCCUUGUGUUCCUUGCUGGCCGGAUCCUGUGAAGCGGUCCCCAUUGUGCGCGGUUGCCUUCUCUCACUCUCUCUGCGUCUUUGUUUAUUCCUUGCUGCUCUCUUCCCCUCUCGCUCUCUCUCACCGCCGUCUCUGGCCCUCGCCUCGCAGCUUGUGUCUCGACUUUUCUCCGGUGGCGCGCGAAUGUGGCCACGCUCUUGUAGGGGCCCCUGCGGCACCUGCAGCAGGGAAGGGGGAGGCCAAAGAGCUGCAUUGGAUGCAGUACGUGUGCGUGUGUCUUCUGUAAGCGCCUUGCGCACAUGCAUGCACACACACACACACACACACACACACACACACGCAUACUCAAGAUAGAAAAAGAAACGCGAGAGAGUAACGAUAAAAAAAAAAGAUGGAGGAACCGAACAGCAACAAAAAGAUUUGAUAAACGGUGAUCGCGAUGAUCUGCGUGUGCUCUCGUGUAGCUCGACGUGUGUGAGUGUGUUUGUGUUUUCCGUUGCUCCUCAUUCUCCUGGUGCUCUUUGUUUUAUGCUGUCUCAAGCAUUCUCUCUCUGCUAGUAUGCUUGUCUUUAUCAGCGAGCGAGCGCGCUCGUGCGCUCCUCUGCGUGCGCGUUAUGACGAUCGUGUGUGUGUGUGCGUGUGCUUGUACGGUGUGGCGGUCAAUGAAGAAGCAAAGAAAAAAAUACGGAAGCGAUGGAAAAGAGGAUGAGGGUGCGCCGAUGGGGAUAGAUAGCAUAGAAAAAGAGAAGCACGACUGCGCCUCGCUCCCCCUCCUCUCUCUCGUCUCUUUCUCCAGAUCUCCGCCCCCAGCACAGGCGCGCGCGCGCACACACACACACACAUGCCGCGAAAUAGAAGUGUACGCGCAUAACGGAGGCACACCAUGAAGGACAAAGAAAGAACGAAAAGCAAAAGGAAUGGGAACGCAUUUCCUCAAGACGCAUCCCGGACCCCUCCCCCGUCCUUUCCGCUACCCUCCUUCCGUUGCAUCUUUAUGAGUUCUUUCUUGGUUUCUGUCGUUUCGUAGUUUGUAGAUGGCUCAUCUUGCUUUGCUUCUGUUGUCUUUCUGUGUGAUUUCAUGCCGCGCACACACACACCCUCUCCUGCCCCGCCCCCUCCCUCCACGAGAGAGCGUGUGCGUGUGUGCGCACCUCCAUUUGGUCGUCUGUGCACCUCUCCCUCCUUCGCUGUCUCCGUCUAUGUGAGUGGGCGGGGUGGGGGCGGCGCACGCAGGCGUGCUUGAGUGUGUAUGUGUGUGCGUGUAUGGGUGUCUGUACACAUGACGUCACUUUCUUGUAUUGUGUAUUGGCUUUCUCUGUUCCUGCCCUGCCUCCCCCUCCUCCUUUCCUCAUCCCCUCUUUGUGGCCUUCGUGUGCGAAACCCUCAUUUUGUGCAGAGUCUCCCCCGACAAAUUCCUUGCCUUUCCUCCUCCUCCGUCUCGUCUCUUUUCUUCGCAAUUUCAUUUCUCGGUGUAACGCGUGUGCGCGUGUAGGCUUAUACAUAUGUAUGUGCGUGUGCUUGUGCGUGUGUGUGUGUGUGCGUAGUAUCUCUCCCGCGCUACUUCGUCGUGCGUAUCUCUUUCUGUCACAGUUCUUGUUUCGUUGUUCGAGUGUCUUCACGUGAUCUUGGUGCUCAGGGAGACCUCCUUCGCUGUUGAUGGGCUGAACGUGCCGUUUUUUGUUUUUGCGUGUUGUUGCUCUUUGCGUCUGUGCUGCUUGCGUGUGCGUCUGUGUGCGCCACUGAUCUCCCUUUUCUCCCACCUCUGGUGGCCGAGGGAAGAAGGGGUGCAGAGGCGACAGACACUCACACAUCUUCACAUGCACGAGGAAAAAAAACAAAAACGUGCACAACUACAUGCACUACUAUGCCCCGAAGCGAUCUCGUGCAGGCUGAAACCAAACGCAUGCAGACGUUUUUUUUUUGCGCUUAAGUUUGCUGUGCAGUCGCAGCGUCGUCCGUGAAGUAAGACGGAUACACCUACCUGCACACACACAACGCCCACGCCCACGCACAAAUACACGCGUUUUCACCAGCUCUUCCCACCUUCCCUCCCAAAAGCCAAAGACAAUGGGUUACGCACAGUGCUAUGUGCACGAACCUCGACCUUUUUUUACUUGGUUCGUUGGCACUCUUCAUUACUGCGUGUGUAUGUGUGUUUGGUUGUGCCAUUCGUGCGUGGUGAAGAACACGAGUAUGCAGCUGACCUGAGCAUGUGUUUCUCUGUGUCUGUGCGUGUGUGCUCUUCGGCCCCCUUUUUUCUUCUUUUCAUUCGUUGGUAUUGUUCUCCUUCUUCGUUUGCUGCACUGAAAACACUUUUUCGUGUCGAAAAGCUGAUGAUCGGCUUCGAGGGCGGGGAGGGGGGGCGCUCUCUUUUAUUUUUGUCUCCGCUUGCGUGUUUGUGUCUGUGCCUGUGUCUGUGUAUGUGUGCCUUUACGCUCUCAUUCCAUCAUUCUCCCUCACCUCACCGCUCCACACGCACGCGUACUGCUCUACGCUGCCCUGCGCUGUUGCUCGUUUCGGGUUUUUGCCUUGUACGCAAGCUGGCGUGUGUGGUUGUGGGUGCGUUGACGCUCUACACAGCGCAUGUGCUUCCGCAGAUCCUGCAUCUCUCUCUCUGUCUGUUUGUACGUGCAACGAGCGGCGCCGUUGCGGUGACUGUGGCGUAGGGCUCGAAGCGAUCUCAGCUCGCAAGAGGGCUGCCGUGUUUUGCUUCCUCCCUCAAAAAUAGCGCAUCAGUCCGGCACUCUCCUCACUCACCGCCACAGAUUCUCACAGGCGCACACGCAGAGCGUGACAUGCGCUUAUCAAGCUACCAGGCAGUUUGCUGCCCCCAGCUCCUACGCAUCGGGCGACGCUUCCUUUCUUCUGCAUUGCCGUCUGUUCCCACUUCUCUUCUCUCGCAUAGCCUCUUUUUUUUCUGUCGUCUACCCGUCUCUCGACAUGCGUGUGUCUGGGUGUGCGCGGAUGCACGGCCGGCGUGUAUCCCUUGUGCGGUGCUGGGGCUUUUCCGCGACGAAAAGGACAAUGCCUCUGCACAAAAGCAGAAGGGAGGAAGUGAGGACGAGAAAACAGCGGCGCCAGCACACCCCACGCACACUCGCCCGAAGAGACGUUGAGGCAGGGGGACAUGCAUGCACUUACACGCAGGCCUAAAUCGUGCGCGGUGCGAGCAAGACGGAUGCAGGUGGUUUUCGAAGGAGGUGGGAGGGAGAUCCAGUAGUCAGGGAGCGCAUGGGAUGGACGACUGCGUACGCAAAGGCACUUGCUUGCUUUCGUUUUUCGUUUUGGUUUUCGGUUUGUGUGCUUCAUUCUUGCGCGACUGCUCCUUCUCUGCCCGCUGUCUCUUCCACCGCGCACCCCAACGGUUGUUCUCCCUUUCUCCCUCCUCAUCUUAGCUUUUCAAUCUUCUUGUUCUCGUCGGUUGCACUUCACACACACACACACACACACACACGCACCUCACCCCCCCUCCAGCCUCACCGCUUCAGUGCCUACCCCCACCUUCUCCUUCUCCCAAAUAUGUCCGAAUACACAUUGGACGGGCUGCGAGGAGAGGAGAGGAGAGAGGGGUGUGUGGGUGGUGCAGAGGGCGGCACUUGUCCUUCUUUUGAUUUUAUGUUUCGUUUCCGUUUUGUUUUAAAGUUUCAUUUCCGGUCUUGUUUUUUUUUUGUUCUCCUAACCUUUUUUUUUUUCGGUUUUGCGUGUAUGCGUGCCACGUGUGUCGUGUGUAUUGUGCGUGUUAUGUGGGCUCUCUCGUUUGUUUUGAUGAUAGAAGUAACACACAGACAAUGUUGUUGUGCUAUGUUGUCUCUUUCUCUGUCUGUCUGCAGGUGCUGAUGUGUGUGCGUGUGUGCCGUGUGUGCAGAGUGUGCGUGCGUAUCGUCGCUAAGGAAACCGAAGGAGGCCAACAUGAAAACCAAAAAAAAAAACGUAGAAAAGAAAACCAACCACAACGAAACAAAAAGGAUGGCCGACCUUCUAAGAAAGAAGACGCACACGCACACGCACACAUUCAGACAUGCAGAUUUUACACGUGCUCAGGCAUCAACCCACGCACUCACCCUUAUAAGCGAACGACUUGGCACAUGCGCAAGUGCGUUUGUGUUCAAUCAACUCUCGCACAUACACACACACACACAUCAGCACAUACACACCUAACGACAGACACGCGCAGGCUAACAGAGGUACGCAUCCAUCGAAGCACGACGCCUCGGCCUCUCGUCUCUCCUCUCCUUCAUCCCUGUCCACCAUACCCAAAGAAGGAAAACACCAUCAAAGAAGUAUGUUUUGUUUCGCGGUAGAAACCUGACCCCCGCCUUAC
rnacentral:misc_RNA from 1 species